UUAACCUGGAAUCAAAUAGGGAUACCCGCUGAACUUAAGCAUAUCAAUAAGCGGAGGAA
rnacentral:rRNA from 1 species